GAUGAACGCUGGCGGCGUGCCUAACACAUGCAAGUCGAGCGAUUCUCUUCGGAGAAGAGCGGCGGACGGGUGAGUAACGCGUGGGUAACCUGCCCUGUACACACGGAUAACACACCGAAAGGUAUGCUAAUACGAGAUAACAUAAGAAAUUCGCAUGUUUUUCUUAUCAAAGCUCCGGCGGUACAGGAUGGACCCGCGUCUGAUUAGCUAGUUGGUGAGGUAACGGCUCACCAAGGCGACGAUCAGUAGCCGACCUGAGAGGGUGAUCGGCCACAUUGGAACUGAGACACGGUCCAAACUCCUACGGGAGGCAGCAGUGGGGAAUAUUGCACAAUGGGCGAAAGCCUGAUGCAGCAACGCCGCGUGAGCGAUGAAGGCCUUCGGGUCGUAAAGCUCUGUCCUCAAGGAAGAUAAUGACGGUACUUGAGGAGGAAGCCCCGGCUAGCUACGUGCCAGCAGCCGCAGUAA
rnacentral:rRNA from 1 species